CGGAGCGGGUGCAUGAUCGCUCCGGUCUUACGACCGGAGAGGAAAGUCCGAACUCUACAGGGCAGGGUGGUUCGUAACGCGAACGCCGGGCGACCGGGGGAAAGUGCCACAGAAAACAAACCGCCUGGAUCCAUCAGGUAAGGGUGAAACGGCGAGGCAAGAGCUCACCGCUUCCAUGGUGACAUGGGAGGCACGGCAAACCCCACCCAGAGCAAGACCAAAUAGGGAGAUGUUUGAGGGCGGCCCGUCCGAGAUCUCCGGGUAGGUUGCAAGAGGUGUUGAGCGAUCAACAUCCCAGUGAAAUGAUCAUGGCCCUUCACCGGGUACAGAAUUCGGCUUAUAGCCCGCUCCUUUUU
rnacentral:RNase_P_RNA from 1 species